GAGGGGCGGGAGGGGCCGGGCAAGGGAACGGAACGGAAGGGGAGGGAAGCGGGAGAGGCGCUGGGUUCCCCGGGGCAGGAAGCGGCGGCCGGGGGCUCCGGGAAGGGCCCGGGUGAGGGGCGCCUCCGGGUCCCGGCAGCCAUGCCCUUGUCUCCCUCCCGGGCACGGAGCCGGGGCCCGGCGGGGCGGCGAAGCGCGGUGAGGGACCGGGACAGGGAGCGGCAGCACCGAGCCCAGCUCCAGCUGCAGUCAUUCUUCAGCCCGAGCCCCACAUCAGACAUUUCAGCCCCGGCACUACAGUUUUUAUUCCAGCUCUGAGUGAUUUCAGCUCCAGGUUUGGUGUUUCAGCUCCAGCUGCAGUCGUUCUUCAGCUCCAGCUCUGUCACAUCUCAGCCGCAGCCCCACAGCAGUGAUUUCAGCUCCAACCCUGCCAUCCUGAUUUCAUCUCCCACCCUACAGUAGCUAUUGAACCCCAGGAUUUCCACUCCAGGCCUGUGCUGUUUCCCCUCCCACCCCCCCCCACUCUUUAUUUCACCCCCCAGCCUCACAGACUUUCUUACGGCUCCAGCUCUGCGUUGUUUCAGCUUCAGCCCUGCAGUGUUUAGCUCAGCCUCAGCUCUACAUCUUCCUGUUGCCUCCGUGUUCUCACAGCAGCUCUGGGGGCUGUUGAUAAGCUUGUUUUCAGGCCCAGAAACACAGCACUCUGGGGACUUUUGGAGCAGCUGAACCCCAGGACUGAGCUGGGCUGUUCAGCCCCAACCACAGAACUUCAUCCUCCUUUGGGGGGCUGGAAACACCCUUGAGGCUGCUGCUGUGGCCCAUGUGUGAAGGGAAAGGGGGGCCACAGCCCAGGGAGUGCUUGGGAACUGCAGGCACCCACCCAGACAGGGAAAGCUUUAUUGCACUUUAUUCCACUUGAUUUUUCAAUUAUCGUUAUGCAUUACACUUCUUGUAAUAAACCAACACAAUAGCUUUAUUAGCAGUACUAGUUACAGUAUUGUUUAAAAGCCAAGCACGCCCCCCUCCCCCCACCCCCCCACUCGCGGCAACAUCCGCGGGGAGCCGGGCCCGGGAACCCCCACGCAGCCCGGCCGCGCCCCGACCCCCCACCCGACCCCCGCUGGGGCUCGGCACCCGCCCCGUGUAGCGGCCGGCGCCCCUCCUCGCUCGGCGCCGCUCCGGCCGCCGCUGCCCGACACAAGCGGGGAAGAGCCAACAGAACGCGACCUGGCUGUCACGCCGGGCACGGA